rnacentral:rRNA from 1 species
CCUACGGGAGGCUGCAGUCGGGAAUAUUGCGCAAUGGAGGAAACUCUGACGCAGUGACGCCGCGUGCAGGAAGAAGGUUUUCGGAUUGUAAACUGCUUUAGACAGGGAAGAAAAAAGACAGUACCUGUAGAAUAAGCUACGGCUAACUACGUGCCAGCAGCCGCGGUAAUACGGGGGGUGCAAGCGUUGUCCGGAAUCAUUGGGCGUAAAGAGUUCGUAGGUGGCACGUUAAGUCUGGUGUUAAAGGCGGAAGCUCAACUUCCGUAGGGCACUGGAUACUGGCGAGCUUGAAUGCGGUAGAGGUAAAGGGAAUUCCUGGUGUAGCGGUGAAAUGCGUAGAUAUCAGGAGGAACAUCGGUGGCGUAAGCGCUUUACUGGGCCGUAAUUGACACUGAGGAACGAAAGCCGGGGUAGCAAAUGGGAUUAGAUACCCUUGUAGUC